GAGGGUAUAGCUCAGUGACAGAAUGUGUGCUUAGCAUGCAUAAGGUCCUGGGUUCAAUCCCUGGUACCUCCA
rnacentral:tRNA from 1 species